rnacentral:lncRNA from 1 species
UACUAUACUGCCCCAACAUGCGACAAAGUCUCUCAGCCUAGAUGCAUGGUUAGUGCGCAGCUGAACCUGCUAUCUUUCCCCAUGCUACAAUAGCCUCAGGCGAUUUCGAGGGCACUCUCCUCUUCCCUCCGUUGAUCCGCCGGCCCCCUUCCCCCCGACGCCCUCAGGGCACCGGAGUGGCUAGGGGAGGUCGGCACCUUGGCGGGUGGGACCUGUAUAGCUGUAGAUGUAGGCCUUCUAGCUUCCUUUUAUCGGUGAUGCCGCGAUGGCGCUUAUGUUAUCGUCUAGGGUUCCCUUCCCCUGUGCGUCUCCGGCGGCGGCGGUGUCGGCGACCCUCCAGGGAGGGUCACAGGAGGCUUUUGCUCCUCCUCGUGGUCUUCGCUGAUGUCGCCGGCGGCAGCGUCAUCUCCGCCAACUAUGGAGUGAGGUUAGUGUUCCCCUUUUCCACAGCUGUGAACUGGAUCUCCCUUGUGUGGGGCUUGUGUCCUGGUUGUUGCCGACCUCUGGUUUGAGCGGCACAGCUGUGGAAUUCUUCUUCUAGGUCACCGAGUUCCUCAGCGAUGCCGGACUACUUCUCUUCCAAGAUCAAGGCGAUGAAGGCCGAUGUGCGCCAGAGGGGAGACGUCUUGCGGCAAAAAGCUGGAGGUCUCGUCGAGCAUCUUGGUUGAGUUCUUCUCCCUGCUGUUGUGUCUCUUCUUUGAUUCCGGAGGAACCGGAAACGGCUCGACAUGCGGGAGCUCUGCAUCAGAUUCAAGGACCGCAGUUUCAAAUUUUAUAUUUGUUAGGGUCUUGUACGCCAUUCUACAUUGCUAGGAAUGAGUGCUGUGGACUUGGAUGUAAUUCUGAAUUUCCCCAGGGUGUUGUUUGUAAGAGCCCGGCUCUUUUAGUAUAUGGGAUCCAGCCCCUUUGCAAAAAGAAAAAAAAAAAGCCUAGAUGCAUGGUUGAUUCUUUGCAAGGCAAAGGCUACUGCUACCACUAGCAGUCGGCAGGAAGAGACAAGGCAGCUAGUUCUGUUACACCCACGGUAAAUUAUGUUUUCCUCUUUGGAUCGGUUUGGGUUACUUGCUCUAAACAAAGCAUGGGAUGGAGUGGUUACUGAAUCAUACGAGUAUUAGCGAACUACAGGUAGUAGUCAAUGCAUUUGCACCAACCGCGUGCCGUGCCAUAUGAAAGCGUUAAGAG